AUUGAACGCUGGCGGCAGGCCUAACACAUGCAAGUCGAGCGAAUAAAGGAAGCUUGCUCCUCUCUUCCGCGACCGACGGGCGAGUAAGUCAUACGAAGCUGCCUUGCAGAUGAGGCUAACGUCCCUUAACGGGCGCUAAUCUCACAUACGUCCUGAGGGUGAACCUCAGGGUUCUUCAGACCUCACGCUAUUUGAUGAGACUAGGCCGGAUUAGCUAGUUGGUGUGGUAAGGGCCUACCAAGGCGACGAUCCGUAACUGGCCUGAGAGGAUGAUCAGACACACUGGAACUGAGACACGGUCCAGACUCCUACGGGAGGCAGCAGUAGGGAAUAUUCGACAAUGGGCGAAAGCCUGACCCAGCCAUGCCGCGUGUGUGAAGAAGGUCUUCGGAUCGUAAAGCUCUUUUAGUUGGGAGGAACAGCAGUGAGAUAAUAUCUGGCCGUUUUGACGGUACCAACACAAUAAGCAACGGCUAACUACGUG
rnacentral:rRNA from 1 species